CGUACCCGCUGAAUUUAAGCAUAUAAGUAAGCGGAGGACAAGACAUUAAACAGGAUCCCCAUAGUAAUGGCGAGCGAGCCGGGAUAAACUCAGCAUGGAAAUUGGGGCCUGUGGCUUUGACUUGUAAUCUGGUGAGGCAUUGCCAACAGAGGCGCAUAUGUAAGUCUCUUGGAAAAGAGCAUCAACGAAGGUGAGAGUCCUGAUUGUCAUGUGCAGCCCCCCUGUGCACGGUGUGCCUUCUAAGAGUCACGUUCCUUGGGAUUGGAGCGCAAAUUGGGUGGUAACUUUCAUCUGAAGUUAAACAAUGGUUUGGGACCGAUAGGAAACAAGUACCAUGAGGGAAAGGUGAAAAGGACUUUGGAAAGAGAGUUAAAAGUGCCUGAAAUUGCUGAAGGGGAAGCGAAUGGAACCAGUAGUGCUGGGUGAGAUUGUCACAUGCCACAAGGAUUGGUUGCUGCCACAACGCAAGUGUGAUGGCGAUGUGUGAAUUGCUAGUGUGUGGUGUGUCUUACCUAGUGGGUCAUUGUGGGUUUAUGCAUUAAGAUAAGUCAAAGCAAGCGGGAGCAAGUUUACGAGUUUGUGAAUGUGUGUUGUUAUGCUUGUGCGUAAGCUUUAGUGUUUGUCUGGCUGCAGGGCUGUCCAUCCUCAAGCAGGACUUGUGGUUGCGAUGGGCAUAACCUUCUGCACAGAUAUUGACGAAAUGGUUUCAUUCGACCCGUCUUGAAACACGGACCAAGGACC
rnacentral:rRNA from 1 species